CCACCGGGAGCUUUUCCCCUGAUACAUAGACAUCUGUCUCAGGGGCGUCAGUAGUUGUUUUUUGAGGAACAUGCAGACUGUGUUUUAUUUUAUUGAGAUGUAAACAUGAGUCUCUGAGCAAUUUGGUCAUCUGAGCCAUUAUAGUAGUGAGUUCUUGUGUAGUUUGUUAUUUGCAUGAAUUUCUCACUGUAUCAUCUGCAUACAUUGGAACUUCAGACCCUGUACAGACUAAAGGAAGAUCGUUAAUGGACGUGCUGAACAGUAUUGACCUUUGGGGAAUGAAAACUUUGUGGAUAUGAGUGGAAAAAGGUUUGUUUUGAUUUUUACGCUGAUGAGACAGCGCCAACUUUUGAAAGAUUUUAGAUUUGUUAAAAAUCCGAAUAGUUGUUACUGAAAUGUACAUCAACAGGUUGAAAUUAAUUAGAUUGCUGAUUAAAGUGGUUUGUUUAUUUGUUUAUUGUUUGUUUUAUGAGUUGAUUUAACUUGAUUAAACAUUGUAUUCUGAUGUGUUUGAGGAGGAUUCUUUCUUCCGGGAUGGAUGGAAAUGAUCUAAAUAUGGGUAGAGGUCUAACUUCUUGAUCCUUGGCUCUACGAUGGAGUUGACAGUGAGAUGGGGAGUAUAAACCAAUUUGAAAGAAUAGUUUCAAUAGAAUGUGUUGAUAUUCUCUGUGAAAUAUGUUUAGAUAUGUGUAUUAAGAAUAAUUGGUAAAAGUAAUAAUUUAUCAUGUAGUUAAUGAACUGAACUAAACUGUUGUUCUGAUCUGUUCUUUCGAGGUUAUCAUGAAAAGUGACAACAGACGGUAUCUUAAUGCACGUACAUGAGAUCUGUAUUUCAAUUUCAAUAAAUUAGUCUAAUUUUUUUAUUUUUUUUAUGUUCAUUCAGGCUGAAACAACAAAAUGUGGAAUAAGUCGAGGAGUAUGAAUACUUUUUGAAGGCACCGUAUAACUUUAUGAUGUUACCUCCACUCUAGAUUUAUUUAAAUUAGAUGUAUGUUUUAUUGUCACUCCCCCCGGAAUGCUCUAACCACAAGGCUA
ensembl:lncRNA